UAAUUCGAUGCAACGCGAAAAACCUUACCUACCCUUGACAUGUCUGGAAUCCUGAAGAGAUUUGGGAGUGCUCGAAAGAGAGCCAGAACACAGGUGCUGCAUGGCCGUCGUCAGCUCGUGUCGUGAGAUGUUGGGUUAAGUCCCGCAACGAGCGCAACCCUUGUCAUUAGUUGCUACGAAAGGGCACUCUAAUGAGACUGCCGGUGACAAACCGGAGGAAGGUGGGGAUGACGUCAGGUCAUCAUGGCCCUUAUGGGUAGGGCUACACACGUCAUACAAUGGCCGGGACAGAGGGCUGCCAACCCGCGAGGGGGAGCUAAUCCCAGAAACCCGGUCGUAGUCCGGAUCGUAGUCUGCAACUCGACUGCGUGAAGUCGGAAUCGCUAGUAAUCGCGGAUCAGCUUGCCGCGGUGAAUACGUUCCCGGGUCUUGUACACACCGCCCGUCACACCAUGGGAGCGGGUUCUGCCAGAAGUAGUUAGCCUAACCGCAAGGGGGGCG
rnacentral:rRNA from 1 species